GGGUUAGUCGGGACCUAAGUCGAGGCCGAGAGGCGUAGACGAUGGAUAACAGGUUGAGAUUCCUGUACUAGUUAAGUACGUUUGAGCAAUGGAGGGACGCAGGAGGCUAAGAUGUGCAUUCUGUUGGAUUAGAAUGUCCAAGCAGUAAGUCUGGUGAAGAGUCAAAUGCUUUUCACUUUAAGGACAAGUUGUGAUGGGGAGCGAAAUUUAGUAGCGAAGCGUCUGAUGUCACACUGCCGAGAAAAGCUUCUAGUGAGUACUUAACUACCCGUACCGCAAACCGACACAGGUAGUCGAGGAGAGAAUCCUAAGGUGAGCGAGUGAACUCUCGUUAAGGAACUCGGCAAAAUGACCCCGUAACUUCGGGAGAAGGGGUGCUGAUCGCAAGAUCAGCCGCAGUGAAUAGGCCCAGGCGACUGUUUAUCAAAAACACAGGUCUCUGCAAAAUCGUAAGAUGACGUAUAGGGGCUGACGCCUGCCCGGUGCUGGAAGGUUAAAAGGAUGGGUUAGCUUCGGCGAAGCUCAGAAUUGAAGCCCCAGUAAACGGCGGCCGUAACUAUAACGGUCCUAAGGUAGCGAAAUUCCUUGUCGGGUAAGUUCCGACCCGCACGAAAGGCGUAACGAUCUGGGCACUGUCUCAACGAGAGACUCGGUGAAAUUAUAUUGUCCGUGAAGAUGCGGACUACCCGCGACAGGACGGAAAGACCCCAUGGAGCUUUACUGUAGCUUGAUAUUGAGUGUUUGUACAGCUUGUACAGGAUAGGUAGGAG
rnacentral:rRNA from 1 species